GGUUCUAUGGUUCAGUUGGCUAUCAAGCUGACUGCAACACUGCCAUCCGAUCGUCAGACAUCGGAUGGUCGAGGGUUCGAUUCCCUCUGGAUCCA